GGAAGUCACCGGCUCGCGCGAGCACAGCUCGUGCCCGAGAGAGUAGCCGAGGGUGAUAGAUGGGGCGCGCGAACCAGGACCAGCAGGUAGCAGGAAAGCUGAUAACUCCUCUGAGCGUUUCAGUUCUCUGCAAAUGAUUCUUCAACCAUCUUUCCGGAGUUUGACCUUGCUAUAGUGUCCUUCACUCAUGCCACACAGUGGCAGGGUCCAGCAGCAGAUAACCACAGAAGAUCAGGGAUGAACGCUCCUGUUCUUCAAAGAUACCACUGAGUUUCAUAGCUGCAGUUUUGCAUCCCAUGGUUUAAGCAAAGCUGAAACCUUGUCUGUAGGCGCAUCCUCCACACCGGGACAGAGACUUUUCCAGAUUAGAAGGCAGAAAAAGAAGAUUUGAGAGGACAUGGUUAAUGAGUUAAUGAGUGACAAGACCAAGCUCAGCUCAUAGAAUAUUACACUGUCCGACAGCCUGCACAAAGACAGGAGAGCAUGCAGGGAACAUGAGCGUGACACGCAGGACGAGAUGGUGCAGAGCAAACAGAUCUGUGGAGGCAUCUGGUUGAGGUUCAAGAAAGGCAGUUGGACACUAGAGUUGCUCUGCAGCCUAUGCUGAACUUGUUGCCAAG